rnacentral:rRNA from 1 species
AUUGAACGCUGGCGGAAUGCUUUACACAUGCAAGUCGAGCGGCAGCGCGGUCUUCGGACUGGCGGCGAGCAGCGAACGGGUGAGUAAUACAUCGGAACAUGCCCAGUCGUGGGGGAUAACACUUCGAAAGAAGUGCUAAUACCGCAUACGUCCUGAGGGAGAAAGCGGGGGAUCGCAAGACCUCGCGCGAUUGGAGUGGCCGAUGUCAGAUUAGCUAGUUGGUGGGGUAAAGGCCUACCAAGGCAACGAUCUGUAGCUGGUCUGAGAGGAUGAUCAGCCACACUGGGACUGAGACACGGCCCAGACUCCUACGGGAGGCAGCAGUGGGGAAUUUUGGACAAUGGGGGCAACCCUGAUCCAGCCAUUCCGCGUGAGUGAAGAAGGCCUUCGGGUUGUAAAGCUCUUUCGGCAGGAACGAAACGGCGAGCUCUAACAUAGCUCGCUAAUGACGGUACCUGAAGAAGAAGCACCGGCUAACUACGUGCCAGCCGCCGCGGUAAGAC